CCUACGGGAGGCAGCAGUGAGGAAUAUUGGUCAAUGGACGAGAGUCUGAACCAGCCAAGUAGCGUGAAGGAUGACUGCCCUAUGGGUUGUAAACUUCUUUUAUAAAGGAAUAAAACGAGGCACGUGUGCCUUUUUGCAUGUACUUUAUGAAUAAGGAUCGGCUAACUCCGUGCCAGCAGCCGCGGUAAUACGGAGGAUCCGAGCGUUAUCCGGAUUUAUUGGGUUUAAAGGGAGCGUAGAUGGGUUGUUAAGUCAGUUGUGAAAGUUUGCGGCUCAACCGUAAAAUUGCAAUUGAUACUGGCAGUCUUGAGUACAGUUGAGGUAGGCGGAAUUCGUGGUGUAGCGGUGAAAUGCUUAGAUAUCACGAAGAACCCCGAUUGCGAAGGCAGCUCACUAAACUGUGACUGACAUUGAUGCUCGAAAGUGUGGGUAUCAAACAGGAUUAGAUACCCUAGUAGUC
rnacentral:rRNA from 1 species